UCAUGCUCUGCAUGGUUGGUUGAAUGAAUGAACUAAUUAUCCAUCUGGGUGAAAAUUGAGACAAUAUGCAUGGCCAAGCACUUGGACAAAUUUCAGGUGGAACUGAGACUUAAAAGGAAAAAAUGGAAAAUGCCUACUCAACAUGAAGACAGUGAGGAUGAAGACCUUUAUGAUGAUCCAUUUCCACUUAAUGAAUAGCAUCAACCAUGAGCUUGUUGAAGAGGCAUUUGGGGGUAGCGAGGAGCAGAGAGAGAACUUUCCAACCACACUACCUGCGUUUUUGAAAGGCUGACAUGGCUCUUGGUUCUCAAAUCAGCCUCAAAAUAGCCUGAAAAGCCUGGAGUCCACUCACAGAAGAGCAGACCUCCUCCGGUAUGCACCAUGCUGACAGCACCACCUUACACACUCAGGUGUGCAAAAACCGGCGCGGGGGACAUCUCACACCUUAUGUAGAUCAAAUGCUCCUUCCCUGAUCCUCUGUAGGGAACUUCCUUUUCUCUAAUCCUAGAUCUUUUCAAAAAUUCUAACCAAAAUAAAAUUUAAAAAGAAGA
rnacentral:lncRNA from 10 species